rnacentral:rRNA from 1 species
GGACCCGCACAAGCAGUGGAGCAUGUGGUUUAAUUCGACGCAACGCGAAGAACCUACCAGCGUUUGACAUGGGAAGUGCCGGUUACAGAAUGGUAACCUUCAGUUCGGCUGGCUUCCGCACAGGUGCUGCAUGGCUGUCGUCAGCUCGUGUCGUGAGAUGUUGGUUAAGUCCCGCAACGAGCGCAACCCUUAUCGUUAGUUACUAACAGUUCGGCUGAGGACUCUAGCGAAACUGCCGGUGAUAAGCCGGAGGAAGGUGGGGAUGACGUCAAGUCCUCAUGGCCCUUACACGCUGGGCUACACACGUGCUACAAUGGUCGGUACAGAGAGCAGCCACUUCGCAAGAAGGAG